rnacentral:lncRNA from 1 species
UGGGCCAGGAGCGAAAAGUGUCCUUCCACAGAUCUAAGGAAAAGUUUUCGGCUCUAAAAGGGAUCCUGUUUGUUUCUGCGUUAAUCAAAUCUGUGGGAUCUGGAUUCCCUAAUGGACCAAGGCAUUGGAGGUGCGGCUGAUCGGUAGGGAUGAUUAGUUUGUUGGACAGAUCCUGUUGGUUUUAGGGAUGAAAAGAAGGAUAAG